UGAUCAUGGCUCAGAACGAACGCUGGCGGCAGGCCUAACACAUGCAAGUCGAGCGAGGUAGCAAUACCUAGCGGCGGACGGGUGAGUAACGCGUGGGAACGUACCCUUUGCUACGGAAUAGCCCCGGGAAACUGGGAGUAAUACCGUAUGUGCCCUUCGGGGGAAAGAUUUAUCGGCAAAGGAUCGGCCCGCGUUGGAUUAGGUAGUUGGUGGGGUAAUGGCCUACCAAGCCGACGAUCCAUAGCUGGUUUGAGAGGAUGAUCAGCCACACUGGGACUGAGACACGGCCCAGACUCCUACGGGAGGCAGCAGUGGGGAAUCUUAGACAAUGGGCGCAAGCCUGAUCUAGCCAUGCCGCGUGAGUGAUGAAGGCCUUAGGGUUGUAAAGCUCUUUCAGAUGGGAAGAUAAUGACGGUACCAUCAGAAGAAGCCCCGGCUAACUCCGUG
rnacentral:rRNA from 1 species